rnacentral:rRNA from 1 species
GACGAACGCUGGCGGCGUGCCUAAUACAUGCAAGUCGAACGAAGCUGUUUUAACUGGUGCUUGCACCGACUUAAACAACUGAGUGGCGAACGGGUGAGUAACACGUGGGUAACCUGCCCCAAAGCGGGGGAUAACAUUUGGAAACAGAUGCUAAUACCGCAUAACCACAGAAACCACAUGGUUUCUGUGUCAAAGAUGGUUUCGGCUAUCACUCUGGGAUGGACCCGCGGCGUAUUAGCUAGUUGGUAAGUUAAUGGCUUACCAAGGCAAUGAUACGUAGCCGAACUGAGAGGUUGAUCGGCCACAUUGGGACUGAGACACGGCCCAAACUCCUACGGGAGGCAGCAGUAGGGAAUCUUCCACAAUGGACGAAAGUCUGAUGGAGCAACGCCGCGUGAGUGAAGAAGGUUUUCGGAUCGUAAAACUCUGUUGUCAGAGAAGAACGUGUGCGAGAGUAACUGUUCGUGCAGUGACGGUAUCUGGCCAGAAAGCCACGGCUAACUACGAGCCAGCCGCCGCGGUAA